rnacentral:lncRNA from 1 species
UAAAAAAAUUUUAAUUUUUAAAAAUUUAAAAAAACAAAUAAGAUCAGAAAUUAUAUAAUUAAGUGCCACAUUGAAAGUCAGACGGUAACUACAACAGGAAAGGGAAAACUUAUAUGGGCUGAAGUAGUAAGAGAUAUGAAACCUGAUCUAGCUGAGAAACAGAUGAGAGGAAGACAGGCAAGAAUUUGCCCUGAAACUGGCUCAAAACAAGCUAGAGAAAGGACUUAAAAAUGGAAAGAAAUAGGCAGAAAGUGCAGAGGUAUUAAAAAAGAAAAAAAAAAAAGGUUGUUAGAGAAAUCAUUAUCAAAUAGCAAGCAGUGGGAAUGAAUGGAACAGUACAGAGACAAUGGGGAAAAGAGAGUCAGAAAUCAUAAGAGAUAAGAGAUCAAACCCUGUCAUAGCAAAAGGGAUACAGGCUGUCUAUCAAAGCCCUAUUGUUCAGGCUGACCCUGUCAGCAAGAUUCACACUAAAAGGGUAUACUACAACUUUUCAGUCUCCAAAGUACUGGCUUGCAAGUGACACUUAAACCUCUUUUAAUGAUAGACCUAGUUUGAAACUCACAGAACAGUUUUUCAUCUUCUCUCUUCAUUAACCUGCCUGCACUAGCAGUUUUCUGUCAUAAAAUGCUUAACAAAGCUUUAACAGGAAUGGGAGUGUUCUAGUCUGUUCUCUUCCUCAUUACACUCUUAGGAGGUGCUCUCUCUGCCCCUGUAAUAUAUUUCCUUAAUACAGUUCCUGACUCCACUGAACUCCCCUUCAAUUGUUGGAAACUUUGUUCAUGAUCAUACCAGGGACAAUAUGUGCUCUUUCAUAGUCAUAGUAAGGUGACAAGCUUUGAAAAGGAUCUGUGGGUUAAUUGCCCUAGAAUUAAACCUUUAAGGCCCACAGCAGGGGCAGAGCUAAGAGUCAUCUCAGCACAAAGAGAAUUCACUCUCUGGCAACAGGCUGAGGGGCUAAACCAGGGUUUAAAAGAUCCAUGCCUACAGGGUGGAGGACAACCCACUUUGUAUACCAAAUAUGCUAUUUCUAUUUCUAGAUUGUGGUGUCUUUUAGUUGCACAGUGCUUUACAACUUUAAAAAAAUCCUAUCACUUACCUUAUCUCAUGUUCUAAAUGCUUUAAAAUAAAAGAUGCUUCAAAACUAGAAAAUAUUAAUUUGCCUUACUGUGUUGUAAUAUAUACACAGUAUAGAGAAUAAGUUUUAAACAUACAGCUCAAUUAAUUUCUACAUAUAUACAUAUAAAUACACACACACACACACACACACACACACACAGAUCAUUAACCACCAUAGGAUAUAAAGAAUUUCCAGGACCCCAAAAGGCUCUCUUGAGUACCUCCCCCAGUAAUUUUUUUCCUCACAACAUUAAAGCUUUUUAAAAUAAAAAUUUAAAAAUUGUUAAUCCAAACAUUUCACUGAUGUUUAAGGAAGCUGAUUUGACUCAUUAAUAUACUUUCAAAGUUUUAAGAAAUAAUGAUAAAAAAAAAAGCCAAAGACUUAUAUAUGUUAAUAGUUUCCACCAAAAAGAAAUGUACUAUCCCUCUCACUAAACCCUAACCUUUUGAACUGACUCAUCAGGGACUUUUUAACAAUACUAGGAACUAUUGGUAACAGGAAUAACAAGUACCAGAAGGCAACAGUUAGCUUUUAAAAUGUUUAAUCCAGAAAUAUACCCAAAUACAUAGCCAUUACCAACAUGUGAAGUCAGCGGAAAGAGGAUAAAAGGAGCUAAGCAAGGGGACAUCUGGCCUGGCUUUUUUGUGAAGUCUUCUGUUAAUUUUUAUGCUGGUUUAACUAACGCACAUAGCAUAGAAAUAAUAUAGUAGCAUAAAUGUUACCAAGGGCAAGAAUCAGAAACAAAAAACAAUUCCCAGAAAAGGGAAUUUCAUACCUUUCUACGAAAGACUAGGUUAUUUCAGGCAACUAUGGGCUUAUAACUAUUUAAAUAGUUAAACAGGUGGCUUUCUUCUCCUGUAGGCCACAGGCACAAACUACAAUGAAUAUCACUUGUGAAAAUCAGGCACAAGUGAAUGAAGAAAAGUUUCAUAACUGGACAGACAGCACCAAGAGACUUUACCACAAUAACUAUCCUCAUGGUCAGGGUUUAGGCACAUUCUGUAAUUAAUAAAGAUUGAUGUCUUUAAAUUUAAUUAUCAAUUUAAAUGAAAGUACAAAAAUGAAAUCUUUAUGAGGGCUGCAAUUACAUACUUUUGCCUAUCAUUCAACAGCUGUCUGCAGUACUCUAAUGCCAACUUUAUUUGUAACAGAAUAUUAUAUAAUCAAAGUUAGCUUUGUGCAAAAACAAUUUAGAUUAAGUCUGGAAACUCUAGGUUUAUGAGAGUCUCUAACUUUCUCCACUCCCUGAAAUAAUCUCUAUUCAACCUUCACUCUUAUAGAGGGUAAGAAGAGGUAAGAGAACCAAGCAUGGCUUUUAACUAUCACCUGGUCAAUAGCAUCAAGAAAUACUGGAGUCAAAGCAGAAAAAAAACUACUGUCUCUUUGCUACCAUUUACCUCUUUGUUCUCAUGGCCAAUAAAACACACAAAUCUAGGUCACUUAAAAUCCUCUAAUAGCUAAAUGCAUCUUUAACAGGUAACCAAGUUAAAUUAUUCCCCUGUCUCCACCUGAGAAUAAACCAUGAUGACUACUAGGUUAGCUUCCCCACAGGUAAACUGAGGAAUGGAUCAUGUAUGCUUGGGAAGCUCUUACUCACAGUCUCACGUACACUAAUGAUGGCUUAGGAGCCUCCAGCACACACACACCUUCUUGUGUUCCAAAAGCUUUACAACAGCAUAGCAUAGUAGGAGGCAGAAUGAUAAAUCUCAAAUCUCACCUUUGACAGUAACUACUUGUAUGAAUUCAGAAAGGCACCUAAACUCUCUGCCUCAAUUUCCUCAUCUGUAAAUUGGGAAUGACACGUAGCAACCUCCCAGAAUUGUUGAAAUGAUUAAAUAAACUGAGACAUGUAAAGUACUUACAACAGCCCCCAACUAAAUAAGACUACACACCAGAAUCGUAUACUGAAGUACCAUUGUGUGUCUGCGUGUAAAGAGUUUGAAUGGGGUCUCUGCUCUUUGCUGAUUUAUCAGACUAAGAAACAGUAUGACUUCAGAUGCAUUCCUUGGGAAACAGACUCUGAGAUGAAUAUUUUCAGGAGGGAAAGUUCUUGGAAAGUAUCCUUGGGAUCAACAACUAUGGAGGAGCACAAGAUAUAGGAAUGGGCACAAGGAGUAGUUGAACUGUAUUACAAUAGCGACAAAAGACUCAGCCAAUCCUACAGGGUUCUCUGGAGCUGGGAUGGUCCUUCUGACUUGGACCACCCAAGUCUCAAGGGAUUGAGACUUUAUAACUCCACAUUGACCAGCCAUUUGCUGUGGGCUGCCCUCAGGUGGGGGUCAUGACCUUGAGUGAAUGGGUCCCUUCAGCUAAUACCCAGGCAGAGAUUCAGCUGAGAACUAGCAGCCAUCAGCAGUCCAGCCACUAUGGGAAUGAGUCCCUCAGUCCUGAAGGGAGGAUGUGGACAGCACACCAGAUUUAUAUCCACUUGUACAGAAAUACAAGUGGCACAAUGGUUGGGCUGUACUUGAUCUGGUGUGCUUUCUCUGUGGGGAAGUCUACCAAGAUUCUGAUUGGUCAUCUCUUCCUGCAGAAGUUUAUGUGAGAGAGGGAGGUGUUAGUGGGGCAGCUGGUGUCAAGACCACAACUGAUACUCAGUGCAUUGCUUUCCUACUGUAUCUCGACCCUCUUCUUGAGCCCUCAUUCUUGACCCUCUUCAUCCCAAGCUAGUGUCUCUGCUGGUCAAGGCAGCUUAACUUGGGGGGUGACCCAGACCUCAUCACUGCGGGACAUGUUCUCAGUCCAUGACUUCUAUACUUUUCCAUUCACUCUCAAAAUUGAGCAAAGGAGUACUAAGAAACUCCCGAGUGAGCCACCUAAGUGCCAACCAGAUUUUUCCACACCCCCAUUGGGUAGCAGCAGCCUUACUAUUUUCUUUCAGGACCAAUUAUCCCUGCCAGGAUGGUGACCCCUUCUUUUCACUGCUGUUCUCUUGGCCUGAGGAACCUGAAGUGAUGGGGUGGCAGCCACAGCUUAAAGUUUCAUAGGACUGUUAAGCUGGCCCUUGAUAAAAGUGUUCAUCUUCUGAGAAGCAGGACCUCUAAACCCACAGAUCCCAAAGUUGUGGGGACUGGAAGCCCAAAUUCUUCACAUGGGCUUCAAAAGGUAAAUGGCACUACUCCAACUUUCAAGCCUUCAUCGCUGGAUCCAUUCAUUCUGUCUCUUGGACACACAGCACUAUACAAUGAUGGUUAAGGGAUAUGCUGCACUUACACCCCAUCCUCACAAGUUAUCAUCUCCAAAUUGACACUUCACUUAUGUCUUCACAAGGUCAUUCUAUCACUCUACUAGACAGGCAGUUUCUGGGUGGUAUGGUAUUUGAUAAGGCUGGUGGGUCCUAUGGUCAUGUGUCUACUUUCACUCCUCUUUUGCUGUAAAGGGUUCCUUGGUCUGAUACAAUGUUAUGCCAAUCCUGAGCUGGUGGAUCAAACACUCUCUAAGCUGCUGGAUAGUGAUGCUGACUUCCCUGUGAGAAGGUAAACUCAUUUAUAGGUAUAUAGAAACAAGCAAAAAUGUCUCCACACAAGGGAUGAUUCCUGGAUUUCCUUUACUUUUCUGCCCAAGCCAUUGUCCUCAGGAAUGAUGUGUGGCUAUAAAAUGUACUGUGGAAAUCAUCUCUCCAUUCAGGAACUCAGCACAGCUGCUACCAUGAGGAGACUGCGUAUGUUCUGAAGCUAACGAACCUGUGUUCAAGAAUCUGCCUUUAGAAGUAACAGCACUGAAAGCCAUAAGCAAAAAAAUCUCAAGUAUGAUGGUAGCAAAUAGCUUCACAUAGAAACAUCUACUCUGUUGGCAAGUGCCCUUUAGAAAGCAGGACUUAAAUUCUUUUAAAACAAAAUCACCAGUCAUUCUUAGGAGUCUGCUGCUUGCAAAAGUAGGAAAAACAGGUUUUUUGAGCUACAGCUGCAGAUUCAAAAAUUAGUUUGUACCAGUUGAUUUUGCUUUAGUAAUGUAAAAAGUAAAAAACCCAAAGAGAGCAGUAAGAAUUAGCUGAGGGUGUUUAGAGAUGUCAAAGAAAAUAACGGCAGAAAAAGCCACUUCAAAUAUCUCCAGAUUUGAAUUUCAAGCCACAGUUUCUUUUAAAUCUGCUUUCCCAACCCCUAGGCCAGUUUUUCUUUAAUAGUAAUACGUGCCCAAGGUUUAAAAAUAACACUGAGGUAUUAAAUAGAACAUUAAAGUCCCCUAACUCCUAUCUACUUUCAAUCCUAUUGCAAAUCCCCAGAACAUUCUUAAAAUUAUCACUGACUGUAUCUUAAAAGGUUAAAGAAACAUGGUGUCCAAUGUGUAAAUGUCCUAAGGAAGUCUGUUUCUCUGGCCUUGAAUUUUCCAUCAGGGGCCAGCUAUGUAACUUAGGGAACGUGAGACACAGACUCAAAAGAUGAAAGCUCAACUCCUCACUUCUUUCCAACCAGGUUUGUGCCUUUGAGCAGAGCAUUUCCACUUGCUGGAAUUCUUUUCCCCCUUCUGGAAAGUAAGGGAAAUUAAAAUGCUGACUCUUGGUUUGCUUCUAUUCAAAUCUUCUUUACUGGCAUUAAUAGAAACAUAAAGGAGUCACAAACAUAAGCCACAUAGGUAAUUUUAUUUCUUUUUUCUUGUUGUUUCUUUUAGAGACAAGGUCUUAAUCUGUUGCCCAGGCUGGA